AGGAGGAACAGCCCCAGUGGCGGGGCAGCUCUGGAAAUCUGGAUUCAGCUCCGGCAGGAACUACAGAGCUCUCCGUCUGCAGGGCCUGGAGGCUCUGGGCGGGG
rnacentral:pre_miRNA from 1 species